AUUCUAGAAUCUUUGCUUUCUCAGAACAUGGUACCCUGCCUCAUUACUUCUCAAACUUUAGCGUGCAUAUGAAUAGCAUGCGGAUCUGGUGAACAUGCAGCUUCUGAUUCAGGAGGACUAGGGUAGGCCUGAACUUCUGCAUCUCCAGCCAGCUCCCAGGGCUACCACCCGAUGCCCCAUGAAGUGGAGAUCGCACACACCAAGAAGCUGUUCCGCAGGAGGAGAAAUGAUCGAAGGCGGCAGCAGAGACCUCCGGGGGGCAACAAGCCCCAACAGCAUGGUGACCACCAGCCAGGCAGUGCCAAACACAACAGGGACCACCAGAAAUCCUACCAGGGGGGCUCAGCACCCCACCCCUCAGGGAGGCCCACUCACCAUGGCUACAGCCAGAACCGGCGCUGGCACCAUGGCAACAUGAAGCACCCACCAGGCGACAAGGGGGAGGCAGGCGCACACCGCAAUGCCAAAGAGACCAUGACCAUCGAGAACCCAAAACUGGAGGACACUGCAGGGGACACCGGGCACAGCAGCCUCGAGGCACCCCGCA
rnacentral:sRNA from 1 species